UAGAGAGGUGGCAGAGAAAAAUCGGUGCUAUCUUCUACAAUGGUUCUGAAGCCGACGAUGGUGCAAGAUCGGGAGGUGGUUGCGGAGAUCGGGGUAAGUGUCGGUAUCCACUACAGAAAUCUGGAAAUAAUCACUUCUUCUGAGAAAGUUCAUCAAGAUCUAACGUUCCAACACAACAAUAUGCUCCUUAAUCGCAACUGGUGGUGGUGGUGGACCUAGAAUCAUGGCGGCACUGGUCUAAUCGCCGGUGGUAGAAAGGGUAGAUGGUCGGCCCUUAUGGUCUCAAGCAUCAGGAAGAGUUUUUGCAACAUGUGAUUCAGGUUCGAUUAUAAAUAUAUUAGCUUGAAUGUGGGAUUUGAGAUGGGUAUGAGAUUAUGAACAAUAUGAAUUUAUUUGGAUCUGUACUGCUUCUUUUGAUGUUGAAUUAUAGUAAUCUUCAUUUAACUGUCUCAUCAGUGCCCUAUGCUGUUGAACCCUACAUCGAUGUUGCAGGUCAUCAAUUUGAUAUAUUAUCAACAUUGUUUGGUUUCAGAAUCUGCAACAGGUUUCGUUUCUCGCUUGAAUCGUUUUAAAUUUGAGCCAGGUGUGUUACUUUCAGAUUGAAUUGCUAAAUAACUUAAAGUGUACUGAAUUGAGAGGACUUGAUUUGGGAGAUGAAGGGGAUCAAGUAAUUUCACCUUAGAGGACCGAAAGGCAUGAUGCUCAAAGAUGAUGACGAGGUGCUUGCCGUUUUAGCUACACGGGGCUGCAAGAAGACUGCAUCGGGAAAUAUGCCUUGUCGUGAUUACCAUAUUAAAGUGAUCGCCAGAUGACAUGGAAGGGGCCGGAACAUUGACUGUUUGGGUAAGAUUUGGUUUUCGGUUAGUCAUUUAUCUUCAUUUUAGUUUACCCCAAGCUAAUAAUCAUAUUACAAAAAAUAACAUGAUAAGGGAAACUCGUAGAAUGUUGUAUUUAAGACCGUGGGGUAUGGUGGGGCGUGGGUUUGGGGCAUGGGUUGACACGUGGACUUCGAGGGGCAUCGUUGGUCAGUUGCAUGUUGGGUCGGUAUGGCGAGGCGUGGCUAGCCCGCAUGGGUUGACACGGUUGUUUUUUAAAUUUAAAUCCUAGCCACCUAUAGCCUAGCAAACCCAGCCAAUGAGAGCCGGCCACGGAAGACCGCUAGGCCCGCCUAAUGCCCGGGCUGAAACCCCCGCCCAAGGGGCCACGCCAAAACCUAAGCCCACCCGGGGUGGUGACUUGGGCGUUUGUACCCAACCCCCGCCCCAUACCCCAUAGUCUAACACCCCUGAACUUUAACCAGUUUUUUCUCUUAUCCUUUUCUUAAGUCGAUUUACGCUGCAAUACCCCUUCUUCUGGACCCUUUUAAGCGUAACUGUUGAGAUGAAAGCAUAACUGUUGAGAUGAUAAUCUCUCAAAGUUUGUUAGCAUGUGUACAUGGAGAUAACAAGAGCAACUUAGGCCAUAUAUAAGAGGUGAGAGCGCACACAUUCUUCCAUCCAUGUUUGUGGUCUGAUGGAGUGUUGGUCUAGAAGUGUUCUGUCUUGGCACUGGACGAGGGAGGCGAGGCUGCUAAAUGGUUCACUGACUUUCAAUUAUAGAUGUAGCUUGGUUUGUAAAGAGUACUUGAUGUUCACUUGGUCUCAGUGACGUGUAUAGUGUACAUAUUGAAAGGAAGCCUCGAAACAUCAUCGAGUAUCAUUGGGUUUAUUUAGGUGAAACUAAAUAAGAAAUACUCAAUUUGUUGUUACUUUUUAA